CCUACGGGAGGCAGCAGUGGGGAAUUUUGGACAAUGGGGGCAACCCUGAUCCAGCCAUGCCGCGUGAGUGAAGAAGGCCUUCGGGUUGUAAAGCUCUUUCGGCCGGAACGAAAUCGCGCACGUGAAUAACGUGCGUGGAUGACGGUACCGGAGUAAGAAGCACCGGCUAACUACGUGCCAGCAGCCGCGGUAAUACGUAGGGUGCGAGCGUUAAUCGGAAUUACUGGGCGUAAAGCGUGCGCAGGCGGUUCGCUAAGUCAGACGUGAAAGCCCCGGGCUUAACCUGGGAACGGCGUUUGAAACUGGCGGGCUCGAGUACGGCAGAGGGGGGUGGAAUUCCACGUGUAGCAGUGAAAUGCGUAGAUAUGUGGAGGAACACCGAUGGCGAAGGCAGCCCCCUGGGCCGAUACUGACGCUCAUGCACGAAAGCGUGGGGAGCAAACAGGAUUAGAUACCCUGGUAGUCCACGCCCUAAACUAUGUCAACUAGUUGUCGGGGAAGCAAUUCCUUGGUAACGCAGCUAACGCGUGAAGUUGACCGCCUGGGGAUACGGUCGCAAGAUUAAAACUCAAAGGAUUGACGGCUGAGACGNGCGAGCGACGACGAGGGAGAG
rnacentral:rRNA from 1 species